rnacentral:rRNA from 1 species
CCUACGGGAGGCAGCAGUGAGGAAUAUUGGUCAAUGGACGAGAGUCUGAACCAGCCAAGUAGCGUGAAGGAUGACUGCCCUAUGGGUUGUAAACUUCUUUUAUAUGGGAAUAAAACGUUCCACGUGUGGGAUUUUGUAUGUACCCUAUGAAUAAGGAUCGGCUAACUCCGUGCCAGCAGCUGCGGUAAUACGGCGGAUCCGAGCGUUAUCCGGAUUUAUUGGGUUUAAAGGGAGCGUAGGUUGAUUGUUAAGUCAGUUGUGAAAGUUUGCGGCUCAACCGUAAAAUUGCAGUUGAAACUGGCAGUCUUGAGUACAGUAGAGGUGGGCGGAAUUCGUGGUGUAGCGGGGAAAUGCUUAGAUAUCACGAAGAACUCCGAUUGCGAAGGCAGUUCACUGGACUGCAACUGACACUGAGGCUCGAAAGUGUGGGUAUCAAACGGGAUUAGAUACCCUUGUAGUC